UACGUAGGGGGCUAGCGUUGUCCGGAAUCAUUGGGCGUAAAGCGCGCGUAGGCGGCCCGGUAAGUCGGGUGUGAAAUCUCGGAGCUUAACUCCGAAACUGCAUUCGAUACUGCCGUGCUUGAGGACUGGAGAGGAGACUGGAAUUUACGGUGUAGCGGUGAAAUGCGUAGAUAUCGUAAGGAAGACCAGUGGCGAAGGCGGGUCUCUGGACAGUUCCUGACGCUGAGGCACGAAGGUCAGGGGAGCAAACGGG
rnacentral:rRNA from 1 species